rnacentral:rRNA from 1 species
GACGAACGCUGGCGGCGUGCUUAACACAUGCAAGUCGAACGGGACCCGCAAGGGUUCAGUGGCGAACGGGUGCGUAACACGUGAAGAAUUUGUCCAACGGCGGGGGAUAGCCGGCCCAACGGCCGGGUAAUACCGCGUACGACCUUUGAGGGGCGAUCCCUCGAUGGUGAAAGCCGCAAGGCGCCGAUGGAGAACUUCGCGGCCUAUCAGCUAGUUGGUGAGGUCAUGGCUCACCAAGGCGACGACGGGUAGCUGGUCCGAGAGGAUGACCAGCCACAUUGGGACGUGAGACACGGCCCAGACUCCUACGGGAGGCAGCAGUGGGGAAUAUUGCGCAAUGGGGCGAAAGCCUGACGCAGCGACGCCGCGUGUGGGAUGACGGCC